AUUGAACGCUGGCGGCAUGCUUUACACAUGCAAGUCGAACGGCAGCGCGGGCUUCGGCCUGGCGGCGAGUGGUGAACGGGUGAGUAAUACAUCGGAACGUGCCCAGUAGUGGGGGAUAGCUCGGCGAAAGCCGGAUUAAUACCGCAUACGACCUGAGGGUGAAAGCGGGGGACCUUCGGACCUCGCGCUAUUGGAGCGGCCGAUGGCAGAUUAGCUAGUUGGUGGGGUAAAGGCCUACCAAGGCGACGAUCUGUAGCUGGUCUGAGAGGACGACCAGCCACACUGGGACUGAGACACGGCCCAGACUCCUACGGGAGGCAGCAGUGGGGAAUUUUGGACAAUGGGCGAAAGCCUGAUCCAGCAAUGCCGCGUGUGUGAUGAAGGCCUUCGGGUUGUAAAGCGCUUUUGGCGGGAACGAAAAGGACUGUGCCAAUACCACGGUUCGAUGACGGUACCCGCAGAAUAAGCACCGGCUAACUACGUG
rnacentral:rRNA from 1 species